AUACGAAGGGGGCUAGCGUUGUUCGGAUUUACUGGGCGUAAAGAGAUCGUAGGUGGUUUAUUAAGUCGGAUGUGAAAUCCCGGGGCUCAACCCCGGAACUGCAUUCGAUACUGGUAGACUAGAGUUUGGGAGGGGUAAGCGGAAUUCCGUGUGUAGCAGUGAAAUGCGUAGAUAUACGGAGGAACACCUGAGGCGAAGGCGGCUUACUGGACCAAUACUGACACUGAGGAUCGAAAGCGUGGGUAGCAAACAGGAUUAGAUACCCUAGUAGUCC
rnacentral:rRNA from 1 species